AGCGAACGCUGGCGGCAGGCCUAACACAUGCAAGUCGAACGAACCUUUCGGGGUUAGUGGCGGACGGGUGAGUAACACGUGGGAACGUGCCUUUAGGUUCGGAAUAACUCAGGGAAACUUGUGCUAAUACCGAAUGUGCCCUUCGGGGGCAAGAUUUAUCGCCUUUAGAGCGGCCCGCGUCUGAUUAGCUAGUUGGUUGAGGUAAUGGCUCACCAAGGCGACGAUCAGUAGCGGGUCUGAGAGGAUGAUCAGCCACAUUGGGACUGAGACACGGCCCAAACUCCUACGGGAGGCAGCAGUGGGGAAUCUUGCGCAAUGGGCGAAAGCCUGACGCAGCCAGGCCGCGUGAAUGAUGAAGGUCUUAGGAUUGUAAAAUUCUUUCACCGGGGACGAUAAUGACGGUACCCGGAGAAGAAGCCCCGGCUAACUUCGUG
rnacentral:rRNA from 1 species